rnacentral:rRNA from 1 species
AUGCUUAAAAUUGAUCUUGCUAAGGCUUUCGAUCGUUUAGAAUGGAGCUUCAUUGUUUCAGCUCUUGCAUGUAAAGGAUUGCAUGCUCAUUUCAUAAAUUUGAUUUAUGAGUGCAUUUCUUCUCCUACUUUUUCUGUGGUCAUUAAUGCUAGGCCUUCUCAUAAAUUCAGAAGUUCUAGGGGUAUUCGUCAAGGUUGUCCUAUGUCCCCUUAUUUGUUUGUUAUUGCCAUUAAUGAAUUAUCUCUUGCUCUUAAUGAAGCUUUAGCUGCUCAUAGUCUGCAGGGGAUUUUGCUUGGACCAAAUUUCCCCCCGAUUCACUCUCUUUUGUUUGCAGAUGAUUUGUUGGUAUGUGGUCAAGCUACUGUUCAGGAAGCUAAUGCUAUAGCCAACAUUAUCAAUCAUUUUUGUUCCGUGUCAGGUCAAACUCCAAAUUGGGUAAAGUCUGCUAUUAUGUUUAGUGCUCAUGUUAGUCAGGCUGUUAUUCAAGAUAUUAAGCAGAUUUUUCCUGUUUCUAACAUGGAUGCUAAUUUUUCUCAUCUUGGUCAUCCUCUUAUUCUUCCUGCUAAUAAUAGAUCUCUGGCUUACAAUUUUGUUUUGGAUAAAUUCAUGAACAAGCUUCCUACUUAUAAGGCCAACUUGCUCUCUCAUGCAGCUAGGCUUGAAUUGAUUUGA